rnacentral:rRNA from 1 species
GCACUCUAAGGUGACUGCCGGUGACAAACCGGAGGAAGGUGGGGAUGACGUCAAAUCAUCAUGCCCCUUAUGACCUGGGCUACACACGUGCUACAAUGGAUGGUACAAAGGGCUGCAAGACCGCGAGGUCAAGCCAAUCCCAUAAAACCAUUCUCAGUUCGGAUUGUAGGCUGCAACUCGCCUACAUGAAGCUGGAAUCGCUAGUAAUCGCGGAUCAGCAUGCCGCGGUGAAUACGUUCCCGGGCCUUGUACACACCGCCCGUCACACCACGAGAGUUUGUAACACCCGAAGUCG